AUUGAACGCUGGCGGCAUGCCUUACACAUGCAAGUCGAACGGUAACGGGCCUUCGGGUGCCGACGAGUGGCGAACGGGUGAGUAAUGCAUCGGAACGUACCUUUCAGUGGGGGAUAACGUAGCGAAAGUUACGCUAAUACCGCAUAUUCUGUGAGCAGGAAAGCAGGGGAUCGCAAGACCUUGCGCUGAUUGAGCGGCCGAUGUCAGAUUAGCUAGUUGGUGAGGUAAAGGCUCACCAAGGCGACGAUCUGUAGCGGGUCUGAGAGGAUGAUCCGCCACACUGGAACUGAGACACGGUCCAGACUCCUACGGGAGGCAGCAGUGGGGAAUUUUGGACAAUGGGGGCAACCCUGAUCCAGCCAUGCCGCGUGAGUGAAGAAGGCCUCGGUUGUAAGUACGUCUUUUACGGUCCCGGG
rnacentral:rRNA from 1 species